CCUGCCGCGCCAACCCCUCUGCCAGGCUCCUUGCUGGAGCCCAGGGAAGAGGCCCUUGCUCCCGCCCUUAGGAGAAGGUUGAAUCUUUCCCUUUUCCCCUCUUCAGGAGCCCCGAAAGCCCCUUGCUCCCUCUGCAGCCGCGGGUGAGCCCCUUGCCUGCAGGGAAAGUGCAAAGUCAAACUCCCUGGUUCAGCCAGGGCCCUCCCCCAGUGCAGUAACGCCUAAAUCUUCUAAUCUAGCGCACUUUCUAGCUGGGGCUAUUAAACCCCUUCACAAAGGGGAGUAAACAUCAUUGGCUCCAUUUUACAACUGAGGAAACUGAGGCACGGGAAAGUGCAAUGACUUUCCUGAACUUGUGUGUCGGGUCAGUGGUGGAGCCAGGAUUAGCACACAAGUCUCCUGGUUCCAGUCCAGUGCUCUUUGAAGUAGGUCACACAGGACAGGCUGAAAUGCCAGUGUGAUAUAUCUACUGUUCAUGCCCAGACUGCUGUGGGGUGGAGGAGGACAGAUUUGUGCUCACUCUUUAGGGAGCCCCUGACAAAUCUGGGUACCUUCUCCUUUACCACAGUCCUAAAUGUGGCACCUUUCCCAUUCCCACUCCUCUUGCUCACAGAAAUAGAGCUGGGGGGGAAGAACCCACCGAUUUUUGGCUGGGGGGAAGUUUUUUGUUGUAACUUCAUUUACAUCAAAAUGAUACAUUUGGUCAAAGCAGGAAGCAUUACUUAAUGUCUGGUCCAUAUACACAGACCAUGGCAGGACACCUAACAGGAAUGGCCAUGCAGAUGGUGGUAAGGACAAGGGGUGGAUUCUCGCAACUUACAAGCUCAGACAAGAAGAAGAUGCAAUGCAGGGAGUUCCUGAUUUGUUUAAACCAGCGCUGCUGCUUUAUAAGCUUCAAGUGUUCAUGUUCUGUCAGAGACUUCCCAUAGAAAGCAGCUCUCAGCAGCCAGGAGGGUCCACUGCCAAUCACCAACUGCCUUGGAACCUUCUGGCUGCACUAUUCCAUCCCUUCCUGAUUAAAUAGAUCCCUGAUGCCCAGAGAAAGAGAAGUUACUUACAUUGUAGCAUCUAAAGUUCUCUGAGAUGUGCGGUCGCUGUCUAUAUUCCACUGGUGGAUGUGCAUGUGCUCUAGGAACCUGAGACUGGAAGAUUCUUACGUAGUAGUGUCUAUUAAUCUGCACCUACACCCUUCUCAUGUUGCGAACCAAGAGUAUAAGGGGCAACAUGGACAGACCGCUUCUCCAAUUCCUUCACCACCACGGACCAAGGCAGAUGAGAAGGAGGACAGGUAGCGGAAUACAGAUAAGGACCACACACCUCAAAUUACUUCAGUUACUAUAAGGUUUGAUGUCCAUCCGAAUACCAACUGUGAAAUGGAGAGUGUGGGGGAUGUUGGACCUUGCCAUGUUCUGGGUCAAGGACUCUGGAAAGAACUGGAUGCUGACGGAUGGACAGAUUGACAGGUGAAAAAGGCUGGAAAAUGGGAGUCACGAGAAUGAUUAUUGCUGUAUCCUGUUGGAUCUUCUAUACAACUUGAGGAAUGAGUGGAAAGGCAUCCAUGAGAUUAGCAGGGCAGUGCCCCAUAAGCCCUGACCCAGAGUCCCUCUGGAGCAGUACAUUUUGCAUUUCCUGAUCGCUUGGGAUGCAAAGAGAGCCUAAUACAGGGCUCUCCACUAAAUUGUGUAUCAUGGUCAGUCAAGAAAUGUCCAAUGAGGCUGUCUGCUGAGAACUGUGUUUUCCCAGAAGUGAACUGCUGAUAGGGUAGUCUCAUGUUGAAUGCCCCAGGUUCACAGACUGGCUGCUUCUAUGUAGAGGGGAGUGGAUCUUGCCCCUUCCUGCUGCUUGAUGUAGAACACUGUGGUUCUGUUAACCAGCAUCACUAGAAUAUGAUGGGAUCAUAUAACUGGGAGGCGUUGCCAAUUCGGAGGAGGAUAGGGAUAUUCUGCAGGGAGACUUGAAUGAGCUUGUGAAUUGGAGUAUCAGAAAUAGGAUGAAAUUUAAUAGUGAAAAGUGUAAGGUGAUGCAUUUAGGGAUGACUAACAACAAUUUUAGUUACAAGCUGGGGACUCAUUGGUUAGAAGUAACGGAAGAGGAGAAGGACCUAGGGGUCCUUGUAGACCGCAGGAUGACUAUGAGUCGACAAUGUGACGUGGCGGUGAAAAAAGCCAAUGCGGUCUUGGGAUGCAUUAGGCGAGGUAUAUCUAGUAGGGAUAAGGAGGUGCUGCUUCCGUUGUAUAAGGCGCUGGUGAGACCUCAUUUGGAGUACUGUGUGCAGUUCUGGUCUCCCAUGUUUAAAAAAGAUGAACUCAAAUUGGAACGGGUGCAGAGAAGGGCCACUAGGAUGAUCAGAGGAAUGGAAAACCUGUCGUAUGAAAGGAGACUAGAGGAGCUCGGGUUGUUUAGUCUGACAAAGCGAAGGCUGAGGGGGGAUAUGAUUGCUCUCUUUAAAUAUAUCAGAGGGAUAAAUACAAGGGAGGGAGAGGAAUUAUUCCAGCUUAGUACUAAUGUGGACACGAGAACGAAUGGAUAUAAACUGGCCGUGGGGAAGUUUAGGCUUGAAAUUAGACGAAGGUUUCUGACCGUCAGAGGGGUGAAAUAUUGGAACGGCCUUCCGAGGGAAACGGUGGGGGCGAGGGACCCAUCUGGUUUUAAGAUUAAGUUAGAUAAGUUUAUGGAGGGAAUGGUUUAAUGGUAAAACAUAUUAGCCAAGGAAUACCGAGCAAUGGCAGGUAAAUAGUAUAAUGGCUAACAAGGGUCAGGCUGGAGACUCUUGCCUACAUGCUCGGGGUCUUACUGAUCGCCAUAUUUGGGGUCGGGAAGGAAUUUUCCUCCAGGGUAGAUUGGCUGAGGUCCUGGAGGUUUUUCGCCUUCCUCCGCAGCAUGGGGCAGGGAUCGCUAGCAGGAGGGUUCUCUGCCAAUUGAAGUCACUAAAACACAGGAUUUGGGGACUUCAUCAGCAGAGUCAAGGGAAGGGUAGGGACGGUUUUGUGGCCUGCAGCAUGCAGGGGGUCAGACCAGAUGAUCAUAAUGGUCCCAUCUGACCUUAAAGUCUAUGAACUGGUAAAAAAGCUUUGCAGGCUUCCUGGACAGCUCUCCCUUCUAGUAGGUUUAUAUGCAUUCUAGCCUCCUGAGAAGUCCAUAUGCUUUGUGCUGUAUCCAGGUGGGCACCCUAAAAAGUAGGAAUUCAUCUGUGUUCAGCAUUCUCUUUAGUGUGGGAGGGAGGAAGGGGAUCCCCACCACACACACACACAUAUCGUUGUUCACCUACCACUUUAGAGAAUCCUUCAGUCUGGGGGGGAUCAUUACUACUGUGUCCACGAUGUGUUUUCUUGGCACACAAUCUGUUUGAAGCCAAGUUUAUAGACAUCAGAGAUGAAACCUUGCAAAAGAUUUCACCUGGGUGCAUGAGACUAUGUGACCCAAGACGAUAAAGCAGAAACAAACUGAUGUCUGUAGACUCUUCUCGGUUGAUUAAAUUGUUCAUUGACUGGAAUCUGUCUAAGGGAAGAUAAGCUUUUGCCCUGAUAGAGUCCAGAGUUGCUCCGAUGAAUUCUAUAGUUUGUGUUGCAGACAAGAUAGACUUUUCUAAAUUCAUACAGUUCCCCAGUGAUGCCAGAAGACUCAGCAGAGAUUAAGUUGAUGUCAGAACUUUCGACCAGAACUUGCCUAUCAAGGAUCAAUUGUCUACAUAAGGAAAGACUAUCGAGCUGUUGUAACGGACACAUGCUGCUUCUACUGAGAAUACUUUUGUAAACAUUUGGGACUGCUUGUGAUAUUUCCACCUCAAUGCUGAUAUAUAUACCCAAGGAACAGGAGGGUUGCUGUUGAGUCUUUUAUGCUGUGUCUCCACUACUAGCUACAGGUUUCAGGUUCAGGCAGGUACAUAGUCAAUUAAGCCAUGUCUCCGCUACCCAUGCUACCAUCCCCACACUACUCGUGCUAGUUCGAUGUCAGGCACAUGGAAUGCAUGCGUAAGACACAUAAGGACCAGCACUAGAAGAACCUACUGAUCCCACUGUUAAAGUAAUUUCACCAAAACAUUCACAGGAGAGAGCAAAGCAAUAUUUUUCCCACAUGACAAUAGCAGCACUUUCUCUUGCUCUCACAGUUCCUGACACAAUCACAGGAAUGCACACAGGAGGGCAUUUUACCCCUCAUACCACAGUUACCUUGAAAAUAUCAGUGGCUGGCUGCAGGACUAGCCAACUGCUGCAAAUUGGAUUCUUGACUCUGGUGGUAACACUCAGCCCACACAGGGUGAAGAGGCAGUAAGAAGGAGCUACUGUUCCUCCAAAUAACAGCCAACCCCAAGGUAAAAUCUUGGAUUAGAGCAAGUAACUGAGUUUUACAUACUUAUGUUCCCUUUUUUCAUUUAAUGUAACCUGCAAUCUAUACACGUAGCCAGUCUAUGCAAACAUGCGUAUCCUUUUACUCUUGUCUUCUCCCCACAACACACUCCAUUUUAUUUGCAACACCCUCAUGCAUAUUUAUUUCUCAGAAAGGUACACCUGUUGUUGAAAAUGAAGAACUUGUAAGCUGUAAAUAAAAAACACAAGAAUGCAAAGCCAAGCUCCUACAUAUUAACUACAUAGGUUUUUGAAUCUGCCCUUAAAUACUGACACAUUUUUACUAAUUUACUUACUUUUUAAGCACCUGAUUUAUUAAAACUUUUUGACCGACUCAGUGUGAAUGUGCUAAAGCUUGGUUGAAGCUGAAUUGUGCAGAUCUUCUAAAAAUUUACAGUAUUCUGAGUUCAGCUGUCCUGAGUUCAGUGAUUUUUUUUUUUUUUUUUUUAAAUCUCAGUUUUCCACCAUUUUGAUGCCACACACUGUGAUAUGACCUCCUCAUAAACAGAUUUGGAGUCAAAAUCUGGAUUUUAAAUACUAAAAGAGAAGGAAGGAACUCAGGAUUAUAAAGCUCUGGGCUUACCUUUGAAUUUUAGAUCAGUCAUUUUGGCUAAGUAAUGGAAAGUUUCCAAAGCUUCUCUGCAUUGUUUUUCAAUGUUGUCCUUAUGUUGUUCCAGAUUUUUGUUAAUUAGAUCAUGCCAGAUUUCCACUCAAACUACAACAGUAUAAUCAUGAGUAAAUAAUCUGUCAAAUCCCUCUGAAACCUCCUUCAAUUGUUUUUUUUUUAAACAUAAUGCCUCUCUGUAGAGUCCUUUAUUGUGUAAAGUAUGUGCUGUGUUAUGACUAAAGGCCGCCUUGUGUACAGUGCAAAUUUCAUCAUAUUUGGGACAGCUGAACAUAAAUUGAAGACACAGUCCUCCUGAGAGUUCUCUUGAGUGUCAUUGGGAAACUGAAGCAUCAAGCUCAGUGCUCUUCUCAAGGCUUAUCUGUUUGGGCUGUCCCUAAGAGAAGUAGGUUGAGAGACUUGGGGCUGAUCCACACUAACCCCCCACUUCGAACUAAGAUACGCAACUUCAGCUACGUUAUUCACGUAGCUGAAGUCGAACUAUCUUAGUUCGAAUUUACCGCAGGUUCACACACGGCAGGCAGGCUCCCCCGUCGACUCCGCGUACUCCACUCGCCGAGCAGGAAUACCAGCGUCGACGGCGAGCGCUUCCGGGAUCGAUUUAUUGCGUCUAGACAAGACGCAAUAAAUCGAUCCCAGAAGAUCGAUUGCUUACCCCCGGACCUGGAGGUAAGUAUAAACGUACCCUUGGAGUGAUUGUUACAGGGGAUGAUUUAUGGUGGGAUUUUAAUGAAUUGUUAUAGUGGCUUACUGUGUGAUUACAUAGGCUAAAGUAUUUUGUGUCUAGGAUAUGUGUCCUCUUGUGCUUUCUGAAUUGUUACAGGUAUUUAGAGUUGUGGUAGAUGCCUUAAUAUAUUUAAAGAAAUUCCCAUGAACAAGACUGUGAGACUUUCAGAAGUGCUUAGCGCUGGCCUAACUCUGCCUUAAAGUAUGGAAAGUCUGACUUAAAGUAUGGAAAGUUAAUUUGCAAUGGUGUGCACUUUGAAUUAAGUUUUAUAAAGGCCUAAUUCCUACUGAAAUUUAACUUCAAAGGGAGCCGAGUUGGGCCAACGGUAAUAACUUUUGAAAAUCCCUCCUAAACAAAUAAAUAGAAAAGCAGGACAUUUUAAAGUAAGAUUGCACUUCCAAAGUAAACCACAAUAAUUGUUAGAUAACUACAAUCUUAAGUCUGCACCACAGAGACAACUAAAAUCAGUCAUGCUCAAAAUUUACAGAAAUAGCAUUCCAUUACAUUGAACAGCCACCAGUAAGUGCAAGUAAAGUGGGCAUAAUGUUGCAUUAUGAGUUGGGCCCUACUAAACGUAUUUCAAAGUGCACUCCAUUGCAGAUUCAUUUUCCAUACACAUCCAGAAUUCUAGGUGCAUACAUUCUGUUGCUAUGCACGUAGGGAAAACUACUUUCAAACUCAAAGUACUGUGCAUUCGUAAUUAAGAAGUUACAUAAUUUAUUUUCUUAAGGUAUCUUAGCAUUAAAGUUAUUUGGAAAAUACAAGGCUGCAUACCAUUACAGCAGUUCCAUUACUGUAGUGUCUACACUGGAGACACUUGCUAGGAAGGUUGGUAAAUAAACAGUAUAUCAGAAAAUAACCUUGAAGAUCUCACAGGGUGGUGUUUUUCUAUUGGAAAGGAAAACAUACUGGGAAUUACUGAUGUUUCCUUGUUUUCAAAAACAGUAUUAUGGAAAGACAACACAAUUGUAGUCUAUAAUGUUUUUGUCAUAGUUGUCUAUCAAGCAACAGAAAGCAUGCAGAAAAUGAGAGGAGCUUGAAUGAAGUGUUAAGCAUUGAUGUCAAAGAUUUCUUUUGUAUUACAAAAACAAUCACUACUAAAAUAACUUCCUCAGAUGUGUAUUUCUUAGACAUUUGCCUUUUCAAUAUCCCUAUUCUCUUAAUUGUUGAGGACCAGAGUUGUUGAAAAUGCCUGGUGGGACAUUUACAUUUCAAACAGACGAUUGGCACCUUGCCAAAUGUUACAGCAUAUUUCACACUAAAAUAUUGUAGAAAUUUUAUUUCUAUGCAUCUGUAUCUUGUGUUAAUAUCACAGCAGUGAGUACUGACUUCGCAUGUUUUGUUUUUUACUGUGUUUUAAAAUUGAUUUUUAUGUGAUUUGAGCACACAUGCAUUGGGGCUGUUGAAAAUUACAGGCCACUCACAGUGACCCAGAAUUAUUUAGAGCUGCUCAAAUGCUUUGACUCGACUGAUGAUCUAAUUUUGUAACUUGCUACUUUAAACUUUUUUGUUUAAAGCCUUUUUGUGGUAUCUAUGUAUCUAGAUUUUUAGGAUCCAGAGCCCAUUGAGGUCAGUGAACCCUGCAUCAGACCCUUAAUCUAUGUCUGUUGCCCAGCUGUACAUGGAGAUAACACUUACCUACCUUACACUGGUGUUGUGAAGCUAAACCCAUAAAUAUUUGUGAGGCAUUCUGAUACUAUGGUAAUGAGGCCUAUAAAGAGCAGAUAGAAAGACUUCCUAAGUAUUACCAUUCCUUUUUAUUAUUUUUACUCUGCUAAACAAUGCAGACAAAAAUGUUUUAGUAAAAAAUAAAUGGAGAUGACAAAACAUUGUCUCUCUCACCAACAGAAGUUGGUCGAAUAAAAGAUAUUACCUUA